rnacentral:rRNA from 1 species
UACAGAGGGUGCGAGCGUUGUUCGGAAUUAUUGGGCGUAAAGGGCGCGUAGGCGGUGCGGUAAGUCACCUGUGAAAGCCCCGGGCUCAACCCGGGAAGUGCACUCGAUACUGCCAAGCUAGAGUAUCGGAGAGGUUGGUGGAAUUCCUGGUGUAGCGGUGAAAUGCGCAGAUAUCAGGAGGAACACCGGUGGCGAAGGCGGUUCUCUAGACCACAACUGACGCUGAGACGCGAAAGCGUGGGGAGCAAACGGG